rnacentral:rRNA from 1 species
CGCCUCUAGCAAAACCAGUAUUAGAGGUACUGCCUGCCCAGUGAUAAAUUUAACGGCCGCGGUAUUUUGACCGUGCAAAGGUAGCAUAAUCACUUGUCUUCUAAAUAAAGACUAGUAUGAACGGCAAAACGAAGGUUUAACUGUCUCCUUUGUCCACUCAAUGAAAUUGAUCUCACAGUACAAAAGCUGUGAUUAGACAACAAGACGAGAAGACCCUAUGGAGCUUAAAACUUACUAAAAAUUGUAAUAAAUUUAUUAAUUUAAUACACUAAUUUUAUACUGUUUUUGGUUGGGGCGACCACGGAGAAUACAUAUCCUCCGAGAUGAUACAUCAGGAAACAAUCCAAAACUUCAGAAAACUGACAUAAUUGACCCAAUAACUUUGACCAACGAACCAAGUUACCCUAGGGAUAACAGCGCAAUCCUCUUCAAGAGCCCCUAUCGACAAGAGGGCUUACGACCUCGAUGUUGGAUCAGGAUAACCUGACAGUGCAACCGCUGUCAAAGGUUUGUUUGUUCAACAAUUAAAAUCCU